rnacentral:lncRNA from 1 species
CAUGGCGAAAAUGAAUUGCACUCUUGAUUACACAUCAAUGAAAAUGGAAAACUAUCUUGAAAUAGAAAUUGACAGGAUGAAACAGAUGGGAGUGUAUAGCCAUUCAAAAUCAAAACAUUUGGGUCUGAAACUAGAGGUGGGAAGGGAACACUAGGCUGGAUGAAAACGCAGGAAAUGCCCAACUGCUUCAUCUGCAUCGCAACAAGGACAGUUAGCCACUGCAUCAGGCUCAUACCAUUGCAUACAUGCAUUAAGCAGUAAGGGUCAGUAUCAAGUAGGGGCGUCUACCUAUAUCUGCAGGUUCUUUGCGAACCAGCCUCUAUGGACCGAAACAUUUUCCCAGUUUCCCUUUUCUCGCUCCAGCUUCUGAAAUUUCCCUCCUUGCCAAAUGCGCUACAGCCCACAGCUACGGAACAAGUGCAAAUGAUUGGCUGGCCACACGGCCGCGGUCGCGCAAUGCGCCGAGCACCUUGUGGGCGUGGUGGACAUGCGGACGCCCGACCUGGCUGCAUCGCUGCUGGAGCAACGGUGUCGCGGUUCCGAGAAGGCAGCUAACUAGCGAAGGUUGCCAAGGACGACGGCGAUGAGCCGGGACAGGUGUGAUGUGGCCAGACGGCGGAAGCCGGCGGUGGUCUGGGACGCCGGUGCGCGAUGACAAGUCUCGCUAGAGGAUGAGUCGGGCCACUGAUGGCUUUGCAAAAGUGGGUCUCAUCGUCGUCCCAUACUUCUGCUGGACCGGCAGUCCACAGCCAUUUUGACUGGGCCGCCCAUUUGGCGAAUAGGCGAGCCGGGAGAUACACUCGUUGCCUGCGACUGGACCGGCCAUUUGACAACUACUGUAGCGUACGAAGUACUAUAGCUCGCAGGGGG